rnacentral:rRNA from 1 species
GCUACAGGCUUAACACAUGCAAGUCGAGGGGCAGCAUGGUCUUAGCUUGCUAAGGCCGAUGGCGACCGGCGCACGGGUGAGUAACACGUAUCCAACCUGCCGUCUACUCUUGGACAGCCUUCUGAAAGGAAGAUUAAUACAAGAUGGCAUCAUGAGUCCGCAUGUUCACAUGAUUAAAGGUAUUCCGGUAGACGAUGGGGAUGCGUUCCAUUAGAUAGUAGGCGGGGUAACGGCCCACCUAGUCUUCGAUGGAUAGGGGUUCUGAGAGGAAGGUCCCCCACAUUGGAACUGAGACACGGUCCAAACUCCUACGGGAGGCAGCAGUGAGGAAUAUUGGUCAAUGGGCGAGAGCCUGAACCAGCCAAGUAGCGUGAAGGAUGACUGCCCUAUGGGUUGUAAACUUCUUUUAUAAAGGAAUAAAGUCGGGUAUGGAUACCCGUUUGCAUGUACUUUAUGAAUAAGGAUCGGCUAACUCCGUGCCAGCAGCCGCGGUAAUACGGAGGAUCCGAGCGUUAUCCGGAUUUAUUGGGUUUAAAGGGAGCGUAGAUGGAUGUUUAAGUCAGUUGUGAAAGUUUGCGGCUCAACCGUAAAAUUGCAGUUGAUACUGGAUAUCUUGAGUGCAGUUGAGGCAGGCGGAAUUCGUGGUGUAGCGGUGAAAUGCUUAGAUAUCACGAAGAACUCCGAUUGCGAAAGCAGCCUGCUAAGCUGCAACUGACAUUGAGGCUCGAAAGUGUGGGUAUCAAACAGGAUUAGAUACCCUGGUAGUCCACACGGUAAACGAUGAAUACUCGCUGUUUGCGAUAUACAGCAAGCGGCCAAGCGAAAGCGUUAAGUAUUCCACCUGGGGAGUACGCCGGCAACGGUGAAACUCAAAGGAAUUGACGGGGGCCCGCACAAGCGGAGGAACAUGUGGUUUAAUUCGAUGAUACGCGAGGAACCUUACCCGGGCUUAAAUUGCAGAUGAAUUACGGUGAAAGCCGUAAGCCGCAAGGCAUCUGUGAAGGUGCUGCAUGGUUGUCGUCAGCUCGUGCCGUGAGGUGUCGGCUUAAGUGCCAUAACGAGCGCAACCCUUGUUGUCAGUUACUAACAGGUUCCGCUGAGGACUCUGACAAGACUGCCAUCGUAAGAUGUGAGGAAGGUGGGGAUGACGUCAAAUCAGCACGGCCCUUACGUCCGGGGCUACACACGUGUUACAAUGGGGGGUACAGAGGGCCGCUACCACGCGAGUGGAUGCCAAUCCCCAAAACCUCUCUCAGUUCGGACUGGAGUCUGCAACCCGACUCCACGAAGCUGGAUUCGCUAGUAAUCGCGCAUCAGCCACGGCGCGGUGAAUACGUUCCCGGGCCUUGUACACACCGCCCGUCAAGCCAUGGGAGCCGGGGGUACCUGAAGUGCGUAACCGCGAGGAGCGCCCUAGGGUAAAACUGGUGACUGGGGCUAAGUA